GGGCAUGUGGCGGAAUUGGCAGACGCGCAGGACUUAGGAUCCUGUCCCGCGAGGGGUGUGGGUUCGACUCCCACCAUGCCCACCA
rnacentral:tRNA from 1 species